rnacentral:rRNA from 2 species
GACCUCAAAUCAGGUAGGAUUACCCGCUGAACUUAAGCAUAUCAAUAA